AUCCUGGCUCAGAACGAACGCUGGCGGCAUGGCUAAGACAUGCAAGUCGAACGGACUAUCCAAUUGAGUAAUCAUGAGGGUAUGUUAGUGGCGAAAGGGCGAGGAAUAGAUAGGAACGUACCAUAAGCUUCGGAAUAGCGUCUCGAAAGGGGCGGUAAUACCGGAUAAUGUCUUCGGACCAAAGAUUUAUCGGCUUUUGAGCGGCCUAUCUCCUAUCAGCUUGUUGGUGAGGUAAUGGCUCACCAAGGCAACGACGGGUAGCGGGACUGAGAGGUUGGCCCGCCGCAUCGGGACUGAGACACUGCCCGGACCUCCACGGAGGGCUGCAGUAACGGAUAUUGGGCAAUGGGCGAAAGCCUGACCCAGCAAUGCCGCGUGCAGGAUGAAGCCCCUCGGGGUGUAAACUGCUGUCAGGGGUCAGAAAGACAGUUUAGGCUGUUUGAUCAGCCCCAGAGGAAGUCACGGCUAACUUCGUGCCAGCAGCCGCGGUAAUACGAAGGUGGCAAGCGUUGUUCGGAAUCAUUGGGCUUAAAGGGCACGCAGGCGGAAUGGAAAGUGUUUUGUGAAAUCCCCCGGCUUAACCGGGGAAUUGCUUGACAAACUUCUAUUCUUGAGGCAGGUAGGGGUGUGUGGAACUCUUGGUGGAGCGGUGGAAUGCGUAGAUAUCAAGAGGAACGCCAAUGGUGAAGACAGCACACUGGGCCUGUCCUGACGCUGAGGUGCGAAAGCGUGGGGAGCAAACGGGAUUAGAUACCCCGGUAGUCCACGCCGUAAACGAUGUCUACUAGGUUGUGGGAGUUCUGACACUCUCGCAGCCGAAGCAAAAGUGUUUAGUAGACCGCCUGGGGAGUACGGUCGCAAGGCUAAAACUCAAAGGAAUUGACGGGGGCUCACACAAGCGGUGGAGCAUGUGGAUUAAUUCGAAGCAACGCGCAGAACCUUACCUGGGUUUGACAUGCUUGGAUGCCUGCCCCGAAAGGGGUUAGGCUGCCUUUUAGGUGAAACUUGCACAGGUGCUGCAUGGCUGUCGUCAGCUCGUGUCGUGAGAUGUCGGGUUAAGUCCUUUAACGAGCGAAACCCUUACCGUUAGUUGCCAGCGGGUCAUGCCGGGGACUCUAGCGGGACUGCCGGUGUCAAACCGGAGGAAGGUGGGGAUGACGUCAAGUCCUCAUGGCCUUUAUGCCCAGGGCCUCACACGUGCUACAAUGGGAGCUACAGAGCGAAGCGAGACCGCAAGGUGGAGCGAAUCGCAAAAAACUCCCUCAGUUCGGAUUGCAGGCUGCCAAUUCGCCUGCAUGAAGUUGGAAUCGCUAGUAAUCGCGUAUCAGCUAUGACGCGGUGAAUGUGUUCCUGAGCAUUGUACACACCGCCCGUCAAGUGAUGGAAGCCGGGAGUACCCGAAGUCGGGUUGCUAACCUUUUAGGGGGCGCCUGCCGACGGUAAGCUCGGUGACUGCACUAAGUCG
rnacentral:rRNA from 1 species